rnacentral:rRNA from 1 species
UACGGGGGGGGCAAGCGUUGUUCGGAAUUACUGGGCGUAAAGGGCUCGUAGGCGGCCAACUAAGUCGGACGUGAAAUCCCCAGGCUCAACCUGGGAACUGCGUCUGAUACUGGAUGGCUUGAAUCCGGGAGAGGGAUGCAGAAUUCCAGGUGUAGCGGUGAAAUGCGUAGAUAUCUGGAGGAAUACCGGUGGCGAAGGCGGCAGCCUGGACCGGCAUUGACGCUGAGGAGCGAAAGCCAGGGGAGCAAACGGG